rnacentral:rRNA from 1 species
UACGUAGGGUGCGAGCGUUAAUCGGAAUUACUGGGCGUAAAGGGUGCGCAGGCGGCGUCGCAAGUCAGGCGUGAAAUCCCCGGGCUUAACCUGGGAACUGCACUUGAAACUACGAUGCUGGAGUAUGGCAGAGGGAGGUGGAAUUCGACGUGUAGCGGUGAAAUGCGUAGAGAUGUGGAGGAACACCGAUGGCGAAGGCAGCCUCCUGGGCCAAUACUGACGCUCAUGCACGAAAGCGUGGGGAGCAAACA